UGUCUUAAAAAUUUAAACGUUAAACAAUUAUAUUUGUACUGCUUAAUAAAAAUAAUGUCUUAGUAGGACUGUUUUUAUUCUUCAGAGGUCUGUUACUAACUAAUUAUAUGGGGCAAAGACCUUUGGAAUCUAAAAGUUGUUCAGUGGGUCAAUAAAUUCCCCAUCUUUAUGGAAUGUUCAUUACUGGGUUCACAAGAGCCUGCCACUGGUUUUAGCCCUGAACCAGAUGAUUCCAGAUGGUAAGCUGACACCGUGUUUCUUAGAGAUGCAAUCUAGUAUUAUUCCCUUGCCCAUGCCUAGGUCUUCCAAGUGAUUUCUUCCAUCAGGUUUGCUGACUAUAUUUUGCAUGCAUUUCUUAUGUCUCGUUUGCUACAUGCCUGCCCAUGUCAUCCUCCUUAAUUUGAGCACCAUAAAAAUAUUUGCUGAAGAUUACAAAGUAAAUUCCUCAUUAUGCAAUUUUUUUCAUUCCUCCUGUUACAAUCUUAGAUCAAAGAUUUGCAAGUAUUUAAUAUUAAAUCAUUUCCUUAACUGUGGCAUUCAGAUCAUUCCAACUAACUGUGUAUUUUUGCCUUUCUGUAUUGUAUUUCUUCUCCAGCAGUCCACACCUUUAUCUGUGUAGCUUUCUUUGACAAUAGGAGGAAGUUCGUGGUACAAAAUGUUGGGAAUUUGUUGCUGUAUUACAGAAGUCAGCUGUUAGAGACUGUUUCGAGGCAACUAAAAGUUUGUAUCACUACCACUAGUUAUGUGUAUUGCAUUCUUCUGCUUAUUUUACAUACAUGUUCAUAAAUAAGGAGUUAAUAUGACCUUUUUUUAUCCAAAAUCAUUAGAUUACUGGACACUCAAAGUUUUGGCGUACUUCUCUUGAAUCGUUCUGUUUUUACGAAAUGUUUCAAUAGUUGUGGAGAUAUUAAUGUGUUUGUGUGUGCGUGCGUAUAUAUAUUUUUAUUUAUUUAUUUUUUUAAAGAGCCAUUUAGGUUUGAUAAUGACCCUUCAGAAACUGUGAGAGGUCUGCAGCUGUCAGGCAAAGUGUUCAGAGGAGUGGCAUUCAGAUUCUGAAGCAGAAGUAAACAGUUUCUUAAGUUUCAGUAACUAGCCAAGAAGUGGCAGAAUUUCAGGAGGAAUUUGAUAAAACAUAAAAGAAACAUUGGUGUUUCUUAAUGGUAUUAACCACUUGAAAUUUAACACAAUUCACAUAAAUGUUGGUAAAUGAAAAUUGGGAUAAUGAAAUAUGUAAGUAUUAUUAUUUUCUGUAUUUUCUGAAAACAUGAAUAGGCAUACUAUUCACAUAUUUUUUACAAAUACUGUACUCUUCUACUUUAUGAGGAAGUCUGUGAAGUGCGAGUUCCUUUGUAAUGUCAGUAUUUGUAUCCAUUAGAUACCUGUGUUAUUUUAGGCCUGCAUGUGUUUACAUAGUAUUUUGUUCUAGUAAAAUUAGAAUAUAGUUUGUUUGAUGCAUCCUUUGCUUUACCAUAAACAACUUUAAAAAUGUGUAAUGUGUUUAAACACACAUGUACAGGUUGCAUAACAUUUGCUCAUUAGAAAACAAUAUAAGUAGGCCUUUAUAUUUUGGCUCCAGUGACAUGUAAUGCUUAUACUGUGUUUACAUUUGUAUAUUUUAUGCUGCUAGUUUAUCACAUUAUGUUUUCUCAGUUCUCUGACCUCCCAUUGUUUUUAUCAGGCAAGACAGUAAAAUCUCUAUCUAGUGUGCUUGUUUUGACCCCAUUUGUAAGUAAGAUGAUGAACAGUCUAAGUCUUCAAUAUCAGGGCUACUGUUUCUCUUGCACUACAUUAACAGUUUGUUGUAAAUAAGUUCUGUAGCUCAAGAUGUCUUCCAUGGCCAGUUUGUUAUUUCAUCAACUGUGAAGUGGCUCUGGAUGAUGGCUCAGCUCUGGAAGGAAUGGAGUAGUGAAUAUUGAUGGAAGUGGGAGAGCCCUGAGAAAGCGUACUUGUGUUGCUGUCUCUCCAACAAAUUCCAAAUGGACUAAUCAGGAUAAGAAGUGUAGGAAACAAGUUGUCAGAGGCUAGAGAGCCAGGCUGUUACUAAUUUCAAAUCAGUUACAGGUACAUGAACUAUAUGCCACUUUUGGGCUCAUCCUUUUAUUAACAUGCAUCAUGUUCACCAACAUAGCGUGCAGUGUACAUAAUGGAACAGAAUUGCUCAGCUCUGAAUGGGGUAAGUGACAUUUUAGAACAUAGACAAGACAAACAGAAUGAUAGUGAAGUAUUUUUCUAACAAUAUAUGACAUCAAUUCA